ACACAUAUAAUUUAUUUGGUAAAAUCAGUGAUUUCCACUCAUUAAAGAAGGGUUCAAAUCCCUUUAUGUGUA
rnacentral:tRNA from 1 species